rnacentral:tRNA from 1 species
GGAGAAAUGGCUCAGUGGUGGAGAGCACUGGCUGUUCUUCCAGAGGUCCUGAGUUCAGAUCCCAGCAUCUACA